GCUGGGUAUGGUGGCGCAUACCUGUAAUCCCAGCUACUUGGGAGGCUGAGGCAGGAGAAUUGCUUGAACCUGGGAGGUGGAGGUUGCAGUGAGCCGAGAUCACACCACUGCAUUCCAGCCUGGGUGACGGAGUGAGACUCUGUCUCGA
ensembl:misc_RNA Metazoa_SRP Metazoan signal recognition particle RNA